GGCAGCUGACGCUCAAGCCACUUUAGAAAAUGUGUUUUAGCUCUUUUUUUAGUUAAUUCUGUUAUUUAUUUAAAAUUGAUAACGGGUUAAAUAGUUUCCGCAUUAUCGCUCAAUGCACCCAAAAUAUUUUUCCGUCCGGCUAAAGAGAAUUCUUUAACUCUCAGGCUUCGGUUAAUUAUCGUAAUGGUCCCUUCAAAACAUAAAGUUGUUAACAAGAAAUCCAAAACCCUUUUAAAUUAAUACAAUAACUCCGGGAUUAUUGCGUAGUUGCCAAGGCGUUGACUAUGAAACGACUAAGUUCUUACUUACUACGGUCA